AUCGCUUCUUGGCCUUUUGGCUAAGAUAAAGUGUAGUAUCUGUUCUUUUAUUUAAAAUAUUUACUAUUUACUUGAAAGUCAGAAUUACAGAGAGAAAGAAGAGAGAGAGAGACACAUCCUCC
ensembl:snRNA U2 U2 spliceosomal RNA